UUAGUUGAAGCCAAAUAGAGGCAUUUCAUUGUUAAUGAAAAAAUUGAGUUAACUAAGAAUUCUCCAACUAAA
rnacentral:tRNA from 1 species